GACGAACGCUGGCGGCGUGCCUAACACAUGCAAGUCGAGCGGGGUCCAUCCAGUGGCAACACUGGGGAAGACCUAGCGGCGAACGGGUGAGUAACACGUGAGAAACCUGCCCUGAAGUCUGGGAUAACCCGAGGAAACUCGAGCUAAUACCGGAUGCCCCCACCGAGUCGCAUGGCUUGGUGAGGAAAGAUUCAUCGCUUCAGGAGGGUCUCGCGGCCUAUCAGCUAGUUGGCGGGUAACGGCCCACCAAGGCAUCGACGGGUAGCUGGUCUGAGAGGACGAUCAGCCACACUGGGACUGAGACACGGCCCAGACUCCUACGGGAGGCAGCAGUGGGGAAUAUUGCGCAAUGGGCGAAAGCCUGACGCAGCAACGCCGCGUGCGGGAUGACGG
rnacentral:rRNA from 1 species